GUAGGUGGCAAGCGUUGUCCGGGAAUUAUUGGGGGCGUAGAGCGCGCGCAGGCGGUUCUUUAAGUCUGAUGUGAAAGCCCACGGGCUCAACCGUGGAGGGUCAUUGGAAACUGGAGAACUUGAGUACAGAAGAGGAAAGCGGAAUUCCACGUGUAGCGUUGAAAUGCGUAGAGAUGUGGAGGAACACCAGUGGCGAAGGCGGCUUUCUGGUCUGUAACUGACGCUGAGGCGCGAAAGCGUGGGGAGCAAACAGGAUUAGAUACCCUGGUAGUCCACGCCGUAAACGAUGAGUGCUAAGUGUUAGGGGGUUUCCGCCCCUUAGUGCUGCAGCUAACGCAUUAAGCACUCCGCCUGGGGAGUACGGCCGCAAAGGCUG
rnacentral:rRNA from 1 species